GCGAACGGGUGCGUAACGCGUAUGCAACUUACCUUUUACUGGAAGAUAGCCCUCCGAAAGGGGGAUUAAUAUUCCAUAAGAUUAGAUUGGCGCAUGUCAAUUUAAUUAAAGCUCCGGCGGUAAAAGAUGGGCAUGCGUUCCAUUAGCUUGUUGGUGAGGUAAAGGCUCACCAAGGCAACGAUGGAUAGCUGGUCUGAGAGGAUGAUCAGCCACACUGGCACUGAGACACGGGCCAGACUCCUACGGGAGGCAGCAGUAGGGAAUAUUGGACAAUGGGUGCAAGCCUGAUCCGGCCAUGCCGCGUGCAGGAUGACAGCCCUAUGGGUUGUAAACUGCUUUUAUUUGGGAAGAAAUAAUCUCGUUUUCGGGAUGUUGACGGUACCAAACGAAUAAGGACCGGCUAACUCCGUGCCAGCAGCCGCGGUAAUACGGAGGGUCCAAGCGUUAUCCGGAUUUACUGGGUUUAAAGGGUGCGUAGGCGGCUAAAUAAGUCAGUGGUGAAAGCCUACAGCUUAACUGUAGAAUUGCCAUUGAAAC
rnacentral:rRNA from 1 species